CAACUACUGAGUGCACACACCACAUGAUUGAAGUGUGCACACCACAGCUACUGAGCACACACACAGCAGGUACUGAGCACACAGACCACAGCUACUGAGCGCACACAGUGCAACUACUGAGCGCACACACCACAGCUACUGAGCGCACACACCGCAGCUACUGAGUGCACAUAUCACAGCUACUGAGCGCACACACCACAGCUACUGAGCACACACACCACAGCUAUUGAGCACACAUUCCACAGCUACUGAGCUCACACACUGCAGCUACUGAGUGCACACACCACAUGACUGAAGUGUGCACACCACAGCUACUGAGCACACACACAGCAGGUACUGAGCACAUUGACCACAGCUACUGAGCGCACACAGUGCAACUACUGAGCGCACACACCACAGCUACUGAGCACACAGACCACAGCUACUGAGCUCACACACCACAGGUACUGAGUGCACACACCACAGCUACUGAGCGCACUCACCGCAGCUACUGAGCUCACACACCACAACUACUGAGUGCACACACCACAUGAUUGAAGUGUGCACACCACAGCUACUGAGCACACACAGAGCAGGUACUGAGCACACAGACCACAGCUACUGAGCGCACAUACUGCAACUACUGAGCACACACACCACAGCUACUGAGCUCACACACCACAGCUACUGAGCGCACACACCACAGCUACUGAGUGCACACACCACAGCUACUGAGUGCACACACCACAGUUACUGAGCAUACACCCCAGCUACUGAGCAUGCACCACAGCUACUGAGUGCACACACCACAGCUACUAAGUGCAUACCACAGCUACUGAGUGCAUACCACAGCUACUGAGCACACACACUGCAACUAGUGAGCACACACACCACAGCUACUGAGCUCACACACUGCAGGUACUGAGCACACACCACAGCUACUGAGCACACACAACUGUAGAGUGCACACACCACAGCUACUGAGCGCACACACCACACCCACUGAGCACACACCACACCCACUGAGCACACACCACACCCACUGAGCACACACCACACCCACUGAGCACACACCACAGCUCCUGAGUGCACACACCACACGACUGAAGUGUGCACACCUACAGCCUGUACUCUAACAAGAUAAGUGACCACAAUAAGAAGCCCACGCACCACAACACAGAGUAGCCCCUGCUCACUGCAACUAGAGAAAGCCCACAUGCAGCAAUGGACACACAGCACAGCCCAAAACAAGUAAAUCGUUAAAGACAGCAACAACAAAAUAAUAAGAGCACUUGAAGGUGCCUAGUCUCCAUCUAAAAUAUACUUUCUGGAAAUAAGAGGUAUGAUUUUUAAUCUUUUGAAAACUGCAUUGCAUUAGAUGAAAUAAAGAACAGAAUGAUCAGUGCCAAGAACUGAAUCAUUGUCAUGGAAAAUCAAAGUAUAGAAAUUCUUCAAAAAUGAAGCAAUAAUGAAAAGAGAUGUAAAUCCUGAGGGAGGAAGAAAUGAUUUGGAGAACACAUGAAAGUUUAAAUAAGCAAAUAAUAGAUGAUCCAGGACAGAUAGAAACAAAGGAAGAGAAGCAAUAAUUAAGUACAAGAGAAAAAUUCCCUGGCUUUAAGAGAGAUUUGAUUCUGCAGGUUAAAAGAGUUUGAACAAGAUUGACUUAUAAAAGAUAAUAUCUGUAUAUAAAUCCCAAAGAGAAAACAAAAGAAAACAAAACAU
ensembl:lncRNA